GUAGUCAUAUGCUUGUCUCAAAGAUUAAGCCAUGCACGUCUAAGUAUAAGCAACUUUGUACUGUGAAACUGCGAAUGGCUCAUUAAAUCAGUUAUAGUUUAUUUGAUGGUUUUUGCUACAUGGAUAACUGUGGUAAUUCUAGAGCUAAUACAUGCAUUCAAGCCCCGACUUCUGGAAGGGGUGUAUUUAUUAGAUAAAAAUCAACUUUGUUGGUGAAUCAUAAUAACUUCUCGGACCGCAUGGCCUCGUGCUGGCGGUGCUUCAUUCAAAUAUCUGCCCUAUCAACUGUCGAUGGUAGGAUAGAGGCCUACCAUGGUUGCAACGGGUAACGGGGAAUG
rnacentral:rRNA from 1 species